rnacentral:rRNA from 1 species
CGGGCGUAGGCGGCUAAUUGAGUCGGAUGUGAAAUCCCCGAGCUUAACUUGGGAAUUGCAUUCAAUACUGGUUAGCUAGAGUGUGGGAGAGGAUGGUAGAAUUCCAGGUGUAGCGGUGAAAUGCGUAGAGAUCUGGAGGAAUACCGAUGGCGAAGGCAGCCAUCUGGCCUAACACUGACGCUGAGGUACGAAAGCAUGG